rnacentral:piRNA from 1 species
UGAGUGCAGUGGGAUCGCUCUUGUGUUCA